rnacentral:rRNA from 1 species
GACGAACGCUGGCGGCGUGCCUAAUACAUGCAAGUUGAGCGCUGAAGGUUGGUACUUGUCCCGACUGGAUGAGCAGCGAACGGGUGAGUAACGCGUGGGGAAUCUGCCUUUGAGCGGGGGACAACAUUUGGAAACGAAUGCUAAUACCGCAUAAAAACUUUAAACACAAGUUUUAAGUUUGAAAGAUGCAAUUGCAUCACCCAAAGAUGAUCCCGCGUUGUAUUAGCUAGUUGGUGAGGUAAAGGCUCACCAAGGCGAUGAUACAUAGCCGACCUGAGAGGGUGAUCGGCCACAUUGGGACUGAGACACGGCCCAAACUCCUACGGGAGGCAGCAGUAGGGAAUCUUCGGCAAUGGACGAAAGUCUGACCGAGCAACGCCGCGGGAGUGAAGAAGGGUUUCGGAUCGUAAAACUCUGUUGGUAGAGAAGAACGUUGGUGAGAGUGGAAAGCUCAUCAAGUGACGGUAACUACCCAGAAAGGGACGGCUAACUACGUG